UUAUGAAUAAGGAUCGGCUAACUCCGUGCCAGCAGCCGCGGUAAUACGGAGGAUCCGAGCGUUAUCCGGAUUUAUUGGGUUUAAAGGGAGCGUAGGCGGGUUGUUAAGUCAGUUGUGAAAGUUUGCGGCUCAACCGUAAAAUUGCAGUUGAUACUGGCGACCUUGAGUGCAACAGAGGUAGGCGGAAUUCGUGGUGUAGCGGUGAAAUGCUUAGAUAUCACGAAGAACUCCGAUUGCGAAGGCAGCUUACUGGAUUGUAACUGACGCUGAUGCUCGAAAGUGUGGGUAUCAAACAGGAUUAGAUACCCUGGUAGUCCACACAGUAAACGAUGAAUACUCGCUGUUUGCGAUAUACAGUAAGCGGCCAAGCGAAAGCAUUAAGUAUUCCACCUGGGGAGUACGCCGGCAACGGUGAAACUCAAAGGAAUUGACGGGGGCCCGCACAAGCGGAGGAACAUGUGGUUUAAUUCGAUGAUACGCGAGGAACCUUACCCGGGCUUGAAUUGCAACUGAAUGAUGUGGAGACAUGUCAGCCGCAAGGCAGUUGUGAAGGUGCUGCAUGGUUGUCGUCAGCUCGUGCCGUGAGGUGUCGGCUUAAGUGCCAUAACGAGCGCAACCCUUGCCGAUAGUUACUAACAGGUUAUGCUGAGGACUCUGUCGGGACUGCCAUCGUAAGAUGUGAGGAAGGUGGGGAUGACGUCAAAUCAGCACGGCCCUUACGUCCGGGGCUACACACGUGUUACAAUGGGGGGUACAGAAGGCAGCUACCUGGUGACAGGAUGCUAAUCCCAAAAACCUCUCUCAGUUCGGAUCGAAGUCUGCAACCCGACUUCGUGAAGCUGGAUUCGCUAGUAAUCGCGCAUCAGCCAUGGCGCGGUGAAUACGUUCCCGGGCCUUGUACACACCGCCCGUCAAGCCAUGAAAGCCGGGGGUACCUGAAGUGCGUAACCGCAAGGAGCGCCCUAGGGUAAAACUGGUGAUUGGGGCUAAGUCGUAACAAGGUAGCCGUACCGGAAGGUGCGGCUG
rnacentral:rRNA from 1 species